GACAGAGGGUGCAAACGUUGUUCGGAAUUACUGGGCGUAAAGCGCGUGUAGGCGGCCAUCUAAGUCGGGCGUGAAAUCCCACGGCUCAACCGUGGAAGUGCACUCGAAACUGGAUGGCUAGAGUCCUGGAGAGGAAGGUGGAAUGCUUGGUGUAGAGGUGAAAUUCGUAGAUAUCAAGCGGAACACCGGUGGCGAAGGCGGCGUUCUGGACAGUGACUGACGCUGAGACGCGAAAGCGUGGGGAGCAAACAGG
rnacentral:rRNA from 1 species